GUACUUUCGAGCUGUGUGGCGACGAUUUCCCCGAAGGCUGUUCCUCAAGCAUUUUAUCAAAUGUGGGAAAUCAGAUGUGAACCACAGCUGCCUUGAAAAGUUGCAUGGAUGGGUACAGUUGACUUCACUGGUGUUGACUCCAAAGUGAGACCACAUGUUCCUGUUCCACGAUGCCCCAUCAGUGGUCACUACAUCUACCAGGAGUCCUGCAUUCUCAAGUAGGAUGAUGCACUCGAGGACAAGUUUGUGCAGUACAUUUCCUGGUGCACUGCCCUUGCUGAGGAAACAUGCCAAGGCCUGAACCCACUUGCCCCUGAAAGGCUGGAACAUGAAGACCAGGGCGUGGUCUCCCUUCUUGCUCUUCUGGGACUCUGGUGUGUAUUUUCCCAAAUUUGUGAAGCCAUGAAGCUUGUAUGAGGACCGGUCUAGUGAUACACCCUCUGUCAGCUUCAUCUCGUCAACGAGGAGGGCUCCUGAAAUUUAGCGAUAUUAAGUGUAAAUCCCUAGUGCGUAUGUUCAAGUUUUACCACACAGUGAUAUGGGGUACGAGCAACGAAGGUAAUGCAUAUUUUUUAAAAGAAGGAUAAACUGCACACAUUUGUUGCAGUUCAGUAAAAUGCUACCACUGCCA